rnacentral:tRNA from 1 species
GGGGUUGUGGCUCAAUGGUAGAGCGCUCGCCUAGCACGCACGAGGCACUGAGUUCUAUCCUCAGCACCACA